rnacentral:rRNA from 1 species
AUUGAACGCUGGCGGCAGGCCUAACACAUGCAAGUCGAGCGGAUGAAGGUAGCUUGCUACCUGAUUCAGCGGCGGACGGGUGAGUAAUGCCUAGGAAUCUGCCUGGUAGUGGGGGACAACGUUUCGAAAGGAACGCUAAUACCGCAUACGUCCUACGGGAGAAAGUGGGGGAUCUUCGGACCUCACGCUACCAGAUGAGCCUAGGUACGAUUAGCUAGUUGGUGAGGUAAAGGCUCACCAAGGCGACGAUCGUUAACUGGUCUGAGAGGAUGAUCAGUCACACUGGAACUGAGACACGGUCCAGACUCCUACGGGAGGCAGCAGUGGGGAAUAUUGGACAAUGGGCGAAAGCCUGAUCCAGCCAUGCCGCGUGUGUGAAGAAGGUCUUCGGAUUGUAAAGCACUUUAAGUUGGGAGGAAGGGCAGUAAGUUAAUACCUUGCUGUUUUGACGUUACCGACAGAAUAAGCACCGGCUAACUUCGUGCCAGCAGCCGCAGUAAGAC